GAUCAUGGCUCAGAUUGAACGCUGGCGGAAUGCUUUACACAUGCAAGUCGAACGGCAGCACGGACUUCGGUCUGGUGGCGAGUGGCGAACGGGUGAGUAAUAUAUCGGAACGUGCCCAGUCGUGGGGGAUAACGUAGUGAAAAUUACGCUAAUACCGCAUACGAUCUAAGGAUGAAAGCGGGGGAUCGCAAGACCUCGCGCGAUUGGAGCGGCCGAUAUCAGAUUAGGUAGUUGGUGAGGUAAAGGCUCACCAAGCCAACGAUCUGUAGCUGGUCUGAGAGGACGACCAGCCACACUGGGACUGAGACACGGCCCAGACUCCUACGGGAGGCAGCAGUGGGGAAUUUUGGACAAUGGGCGCAAGCCUGAUCCAGCAAUGCCGCGUGCAGGAAGAAGGCCUUCGGGUUGUAAACUGCUUUUGUACGGAACGAAAAGGUCUGGGUUAAUACCCUGGGCUCAUGACGGUACCGUAAGAAUAAGCACCGGCUAACUACGUG
rnacentral:rRNA from 1 species